rnacentral:rRNA from 1 species
GACGAACGCUGGCGGCGUGCUUAACACAUGCAAGUCGAGCGGAAAGGCCCUUCGGGGUACUCGAGCGGCGAACGGGUGAGUAACACGUGAGUAAUCUGCCCCAGGCUCUGGGAUAGCCACCGGAAACGGUGAUUAAUACCGGAUACGACAACCGAUUGCAUGAUCUGGUUGUGGAAAGUUUUUCGGCCUGGGAUGUGCUCGCGGCCUAUCAGCUUGUUGGUGAGGUAAUGGCUCACCAAGGCUUCGACGGGUAGCCGGCCUGAGAGGGUGACCGGCCACACUGGGACUGAGACACGGCCCAGACUCCUACGGGAGGCAGCAGUGGGGAAUAUUGGACAAUGGGCGGAAGCCUGAUCCAGCAACGCCGCAUGAGGGAUGACGGCCUUCGGGUUGUAAACCUCUUUCAGCACAGACGAAGCGCAAGUGACGGUAUGUGCAGAAGAAGGACCGGCCAACUACGUGCCAGCAGCCGCAGUAACAC